rnacentral:rRNA from 1 species
UACGUAGGCAGCGAGCGUUGUUCGGAGUUACUGGGCGUAAAGAGUGCGUAGGCGGUUUUCUAAGUUUGGUGUGAAAUCUCCCGGCUUAACUGGGAGGGUGCGCCGAAGACUGGAAGGCUUGAGUUUGGGAGAGGGAUGCGGAAUUCCAGGUGUAGCGGUGAAAUGCGUAGAUAUCUGGAGGAACACCGGUGGCGAAGGCGGCAUCCUGGACCAACACUGACACUGAGGAGCGAAAGCCAGGGGAGCAAACGGG